rnacentral:rRNA from 1 species
AGUGAACGCUGGCGGUAGGCCUAACACAUGCAAGUCGAACGGCAGCACAGUAAGAGCUUGCUCUUACGGGUGGCGAGUGGCGGACGGGUGAGGAAUACAUCGGGAUCUACUUUUUCGUGGGGGAUAACGUAGGGAAACUUACGCUAAUACCGCAUACGACCUACGGGUGAAAGCAGGGGAUCUUCGGACCUUGCGCGAUUGAAUGAGCCGAUGUCGGAUUAGCUAGUUGGCGGGGUAAAGGCCCACCAAGGCGACGAUCCGUAGCUGGUCUGAGAGGAUGAUCAGCCACACUGGAACUGAGACACGGUCCAGACUCCUACGGGAGGCAGCAGUGGGGAAUAUUGGACAAUGGGCGCAAGCCUGAUCCAGCCAUACCGCGUGGGUGAAGAAGGCCUUCGGGUUGUAAAGCCCUUUUGUUGGGAAAGAAAAGCAGCAGGUUAAUACCCCGCUGUUCUGACGGUACCCAAAGAAUGAGCACCGGCUAACUUCGUG